AUUGAACGCUGGCGGCAGGCCUAACACAUGCAAGUCGAGCGGGGUUUUCGGACCUAGCGGCGGACGGGUGAGUAAUGCGUAGGAAGCUACCCGAUAGAGGGGGAUACCAGUUGGAAACGACUGUUAAUACCGCAUAAUGUCUACGGACCAAAGUGUGGGACCUUCGGGCCACAUGCUAUCGGAUGCGCCUACGUGGGAUUAGCUAGUUGGUGAGGUAAUGGCUCACCAAGGCGACGAUCCCUAGCUGGUUUGAGAGGUUGAUCAGCCACACUGGAACUGAGACACGGUCCAGACUCCUGCGGGAGGCAGCAGUGGGGAAUAUUGGACAAUGGGCGCAAGCCUGAUCCAGCCAUGCCGCGUGUGUGAAGAAGGCCUUCGGGUUGUAAAGCACUUUCAGUGAGGAGGAAGAGUUGUGUGUUAAUAGUACACAGCUUUGACGUUACUUACAGAAGAAGCACCGGCUAACUCUGUGCCAGCCGCCGCUGUAAUAC
rnacentral:rRNA from 1 species